rnacentral:rRNA from 1 species
UACGAAGGGGGCUAGCGUUGCUCGGAAUCACUGGGCGUAAAGCGCACGUAGGCGGAUUGCUAAGUCAGGGGUGAAAUCCUGGAGCUCAACUCCAGAACUGCCUUUGAUACUGGCGACCUUUGAGUCCGGGAGAGGUGAGUGGAACUGCGAGUGUAGAGGUGAAAUUCGUAGAUAUUCGCAAGAACACCAGUGGCGAAGGCGGCUCACUGGGCCCGGUACGGACGCUGAGGUGCGAAAGCGUGGGGGAGCAAACAGG